ACGGGAGGCAGCAGUAGGGAAUCUUCGGCAAUGGACGAAAGUCUGACCGAGCAACGCCGCGUGAGUGAAGAAGGUUUUCGGAUCGUAAAACUCUGUUGUUAGAGAAGAACAAGGAUGAGAGUAACUGUUCAUCCCUUGACGGUAUCUAACCAGAAAGCCACGGCUAACUACGUGCCAGCAGCCGCGGUAAUACGUAGGUGGCAAGCGUUGUCCGGAUUUAUUGGGCGUAAAGCGAGCGCAGGCGGUUUCUUAAGUCUGAUGUGAAAGCCCCCGGCUCAACCGGGGAGGGUCAUUGGAAACUGGGAGACUUGAGUGCAGAAGAGGAGAGUGGAAUUCCAUGUGUAGCGGUGAAAUGCGUAGAUAUAUGGAGGAACACCAGUGGCGAAGGCGGCUCUCUGGUCUGUAACUGACGCUGAGGCUCGAAAGCGUGGGGAGCAAACAGGAUUAGAUACCCUGGUAGUCCA
rnacentral:rRNA from 1 species